GACGAACGCUGGCGGCGUGCUUAACACAUGCAAGUCGAACGGAAAGGCCCUGCUUGCAGGGUACUCGAGUGGCGAACGGGUGAGUAACACGUGGGUGAUCUGCCCUGCACUUCGGGGUAAGCUUGGGAAACUGGGUCUAAUACCGGAUAGGAGCCAUCUUUAGUGUGGUGGUUGGAAAGUUUUUUCGGUGUAGGAUGAGCUCGCGGCCUAUCAGCUUGUUGGUGGGGUAAUGGCCUACCAAGGCGGCGACGGGUAGCCGGCCUGAGAGGGUGUACGGCCACACUGGGACUGAGAGACGGCCCAGACUCCUACGGGAGGCAGCAGUGGGGAAUAUUGCACAAUGGGCGCAAGCCUGAUGCAGCGACGCCGCGUGGGGGAUGAAGGCCUUCGGGUUGUAAACUCCUUUCGCUAGGGACGAAGCUUUUUUGUGACGGUACCUAGAUAAGAAGCACCGGCUAACUACGUG
rnacentral:rRNA from 1 species